UACGGGGGGGGCAAGCGUUGUUCGGAUUUACUGGGCGUAAAGGGCGCGUAGGCGGCACUGCAAGUCAGUUGUGAAAUCUCCGGGCUUAACCCGGAAAGGUCAACUGAUACUGCAGGGCUAGAGUGCAGAAGGGGCAACUGGAAUUCUCGGUGUAGCGGUGAAAUGCGUAGAUAUCGAGAGGAACACCUGCGGCGAAGGCGGGUUGCUGGGCUGACACUGACGCUGGGGCGCGAAAGCCAGGGGAGCGAACGGG
rnacentral:rRNA from 1 species